UACCUGAUGGUAUGAUGAGAUUGCAUGAUAGCAUCAUUAAAGAUUUAUCGGUGUACGAUGGGGAUGCGUUCCAUUAGGUAGUAGGCGGGGUAACGGCCCACCUAGCCAACGAUGGAUAGGGGUUCUGAGAGGAAGGUCCCCCACAUUGGAACUGAGACACGGUCCAAACUCCUACGGGAGGCAGCAGUGAGGAAUAUUGGUCAAUGGACGAGAGUCUGAACCAGCCAAGUAGCGUGAAGGAUGAAGGUCUUACGGAUUGUAAACUUCUUUUAUAAGGGAAUAAAACCUCCCACGUGUGGGAGCUUGUAUGUACCUUAUGAAUAAGCAUCGGCUAACUCCGUGCCAGCAGCCGCGGUAAUACGGAGGAUGCGAGCGUUAUCCGGAUUUAUUGGGUUUAAAGGGAGCGCAGACGGGUCGUUAAGUCAGCUGUGAAAGUUUGGGGCUCAACCUUAAAAUUGCAGUUGAUACUGGCGUCCUUGAGUGCGGUUGAGGUGUGCGGAAUUCGUGGUGUAGCGGUGAAAUGCUUAGAUAUCACGAAGAACUCCGAUUGCGAAGGCAGCACACUAAGCCGUAACUGACGUUCAUGCUCGAAA
rnacentral:rRNA from 1 species